rnacentral:rRNA from 1 species
GACCUCGGGAUGCAUGUUCUGGGGUGGAAAGAUUUAUCGGUGCGAGAUGGGCCCGCGGCCUAUCAGCUUGUUGGUGAGGUAACGGCUCACCAAGGCGACGACGGGUAGCCGACCUGAGAGGGUGACCGGCCACACUGGGACUGAGACACGGCCCAGACUCCUACGGGAGGCAGCAGUGGGGAAUAUUGCACAAUGGGCGAAAGCCUGAUGCAGCGACGCCGCGUGCGGGAUGACGGCCUUCGGGUUGUAAACCGCUUUUGACAGGGACGAAGCGCGAGUGACUGUACCUGUAGAAUAAGGACCGGCCAACUACGUGCCAGCAGCCGCGGUAAUACGUAGGGUCCGAGCGUUGUCCGGAAUUACUGGGCGUAAAGAGCUUGUAGGCGGUUCGUCGCGUCGUUUGUGAAAACUUGGGGCUCAACCUUAAGCUUGCAGGCGAUACGGGCGGACUAGAGUACUUCAGGGGAGACUGGAAUUCCUGGUGUAGCGGUGAAAUGCGCAGAUAUCAGGAGGAACACCGGUGGCGAAGGCGGGUCUCUGGGAAGUAACUGACGCUGAGAAGCGAAAGCAUGGGUAGCAAACAGGAUUAGAUACCCUGGUAGUCCAUGCCGUAAACGGUGGGUACUAGGUGUGGGGCUCCUUCCACGGACUCCGUGCCGUAGCUAACGCAUUAAGUACCCCGCCUGGGGAGUACGGCCGCAAGGCUAAAACUCAAAGAAAUUGACGGGGGCCCGCACAAGCGGCGGAGCAUGUGGAUUAAUUCGAUGCAACGCGAAGAACCUUACCUGGGUUUGACAUACACCAG